GAUGAACGCUGGCGGCGUGCUUAACACAUGCAAGUCGAGCGAGAAGUUUUGAAAAGAUUCUUCGGAUGAAAUUUAAAAUGGAAAGCGGCGGACGGGUGAGUAACGCGUAGGCAACCUGCCCCAUACAAAGGGAUAGCAUUUGGAAACGAAUAUUAAUACCUUAUGAAACUUAACUAGUGCAUGCUAGGUAGGUCAAAGAUUUAUCGGUAUGGGAUGGGCCUGCGUCUGAUUAGCUAGUUGGUGAGGUAACGGCUCACCAAGGCGACGAUCAGUAGCCGACCUGGGAGGGUGAACGGCCACAUUGGAACUGAGACACGGUCCAAACUCCUACGGGAGGCAGCAGUGGGGAAUAUUGCACAAUGGGGGAAACCCUGAUGCAGCAACGCCGCGUGAACGAUGAAGGCCUUUGGGUCGUAAAGUUCUGUUCUAGGUGAUGAAAACUGACAGUAACCGAGGAGAAAGCCCCGGCUAACUCCGUG
rnacentral:rRNA from 1 species